rfam:Colletotrichum incanum strain MAFF 238704 contig3215, whole genome shotgun sequence.
GGUCCUAUAGUCUAGUUGGUUAGGACGUCGGAUUCUGAUAAUACUCAGAUCCUUCCGUAGGCCCAGGUUCGAAUCCUGGUAGGACCU